CAGUCUUUCAGUCCCUGGUAUCAAAUUACAUACAACGAAGAGUGCACUCAUAGGACUAAGGACUAAACAAAAUAACAUUUAUUUAAAUCAGACGUGCAGCAGCAUUCAAUCAAUGCUUCAUUCCCAUUACUGGACAUUUCAAAAUUAUAAGGAUGAAAGUUUGAAGUAAGAUGUUGCACAUCUGAUUAGAAAAAAACCAGCUCUUUUGUUUAAGUCAUUUGAGUGCGUUCCUUCUUGUUGGUUAAAUAAUUGUAACUGUAUAUCUGUCACAGCUGGCACAAUUAAUGAUAGGGCUGGUAUAAAAAAAUUUCAGGGCUGCUUUUUAUUCCCAGUCCGGCCCUGCCACUAAGCACCCGCUACAGCCCCUAAUCCUCAUUUAUUGCCUAUGAUCCCCCACUACAAGUUCUGAUCCCUGCACUACAGGACCUGACCCCCUUACUGCCCCUCACCUUUCACAACAGGUCCUGAC